rnacentral:rRNA from 1 species
GUGCCAGCCGCCGCGGUAACACCGGCAGCUCGAGUGAUGGCCGAUAUUAUUGGGCCUAAAGCGUCCGUAGCUGGUUGCGUAAGUCCGUUGGGAAAUCUGCUCGCUCAACGAGCAGGCGUCCGGCGGAAACUGCGUGACUAGGGACCGAGAGACCCGAGGGGUACGUCUGGGGUAGGAGUGAAAUCCCGUAAUCCUGGACGGACCACCGAUAGCGAAAGCACCUCGGGAGAUCGGAUCCGACAGUGAGGGACGAAAGCUAGGGUCACGAACCGGAUUAGAAACCCUGGUAGUCC